UACGGGGGGGGCAAGCGUUGUUCGGAAUUACUGGGCGUAAAGGGCGCGUAGGCGGCCUGUUAAGUCACACGUGAAAUCCCUCGGCUUAACCGGGGAACUGCGUCUGAUACUGGAUGGCUUGAGUUUGGGAGAGGGAUGCGGAAUUCCAGGUGUAGCGGUGAAAUGCGUAGAUAUCUGGAGGAACACCGGUGGCGAAGGCGGCAUCCUGGACCAACACUGACGCUGAGUGAGCGAAAGCCAGGGGAGCAAACGGG
rnacentral:rRNA from 1 species